CUUUCUGUGAAUACAAGCACAAUCACAAGCCAUGUUAUGAAGGGAACAAGAUACAAGUCAAUGCAACCUGCACUUACUUUACAACUAAAACAGUCUCGAUAUUAAAAUUUUCUAUUUCACAUCAACAUCAGUGCAAUCUCACUAUUUUAUAUAGACAUCAAUUUACUUUUGAUAGAAAAACAUCAACGUAAUUGAUCAUUCACGACUAUCUAAUUGAUUUUUAUUGAUUUUCCAAGUUCAUUUCACCACAACAAUCCAUUUUUCAUUACCACAAUGAACUCUAUCUUGAUCUCUGUGGUUUUCCUAUCUUUAAGAAGCGAACAUCUGCAAUUGAACCUUGCUUUAGAUUCUUCAAGAAUAAAAAGAACACAGCAUUGAUAAUAAAAAAGAAUUGAGAAGGUUCCUAAUCAUAGUUAUUAUUAACUGACAAUCACUUUAGAACAAAACUCUAACCCCCACCCCACUUCCACCUGCCCUGAUAAAGAGACGAGAGAAGAAUCAAGGUAUGGUCACCAGGUGAAUAAUUCCAAACACUUUACUCAAUCUUUUGUUUAAUUGUUCAACAUUAGUCCUAAAAUGUUCCAACCCAGCAUCCCUAAUGUGCAAAGUAUCAUACAAAACUACAAAAACCGAAUAACGCUCCAGUUUUGCCAAAAUCCCAAAGACUCAGUCAACCAACAAUCUAUAUUCUAUACCCAUCUCGUGAGGCCUAGAAGCUGAUUUUCUCCAUGUGAAAACUUUACCAAAGCAAAAUUCAAUUAUUGUGGCAGCAGGACCAUUAUGCGAACCGACACAUCCAUUUUCACACACGCGCACAAAAACCAAAAAGAAUUCCAAUAUAGCACAAAUACCGGAACAGAGAAAAAAGAGAGACCCAUUCUUAGAGUUCUAGGAGCUUGAAAUCAAUCAUGAUAGGAAAGAUAAAACAGAGUUAAAAUAAGAGAUAAAUUAAAAAGAGAGAAAAAAAGAGA